UCGUGGCUGCGGCCGCCGCCGCCGCCGCUGCCGCCGCCCUACGCCCCGCCCCCCCGCGCCACAGGCCCCGCCCGUUCCCGCCCCUGACGAUUUAAGUCGCUGGGGCGUGAGGCACGAGCCAAAGAGCGCGCUGCCGGUGCCUCCGCAGUAGUAUGUUUUAGGAUCCGCUAGGGCGAUGAGGGGUUGGGUUGUUUUUUAAUUUGCCUCUUGCCAUGCGUCUUAUCCUUGUUACAGUCCCCACACACUUCCACACGUCUCCUUUUCUCAAUCAGCGGUCACGUCCACCACCAACAUCCCGCUUCAGCAUUCGCUCUGUGGACCCCCGGCGCGCGCGUAGGACCCCUUCUCCCUCCCGUUUCAGCUUGGGGCACGCGCUUGGCGGGAGGGUGCAAGGGACUGUUUCCGCGCGGCUUCAUGGGAAUUGUAGUUCUUUUCUUUCUCCGAGCUCUGUGGAGACUGCCGCAAAGACUACAACACCCAGCAGCUCCGCGCUCUCCCUUUCCUCAAAGGAAAAAGAUCUGCCUCCAGGCUGUUCCCUACGGACACACCCUGUCACCGCUUUGCUGCGCAAUGUGGCCCUGGAAUUAAAUUAAUUUAAACCACGACCGAUGCAGUAAGGGGACCACUGGUAUCCAUUUAAUGCUUUACAGUUUACGAAUCGUGUUCUAUCGUUCAACCAUCUUGUGAGGGUAUCUUGAGUAGAAGAACACAACCAGCUUGAGCUUAUCCUGCUGAGGUGACCUCAAAGGAAGGGAUUUGGUGACGGAUUAGCAGCUGUCUUUGACAGGACCUCUCCAGAGUACAGAAGCUACCAAGUCCCCAACUCAUGGAGCAGCCAAGGGAUGUUGGGGAACAUCAUCUCCUAAGCUGACCAUGGUCACUGAAAAGAUGACAGUUAUGACCAUGACCAAUAUUUAUGAACAACUCUAUGAAUACAGAAGUUGGGAGGGAAGAAUCUGAAAAAUACAGCAGUCACCCAGGACUGGCCUACAUUUCAUGCAAGGCUCCCUGCUAUGUGUUUCUUGGACUUCCUUGUCUGGAUGGUGGAAGGGAAGAGAACAAGGGCUCACGGACUUAAGAUCCAGGAGGCAGAGGUUCUCAUCUACUAGCCCCCUUGUCAGAGAACUCCAUCUGGCCUUCUGUUUACCUGUGUGUUGGCUUGGGAUCUGCCUUUCCUAUCAGACUGUGAGCACUCUGAGAGCACAGACCAGGUGUGUCUUUUUCACCAUAGAAUACACAGGAUGUAAGUCCACGUCUGUCUGCUAUGUCUCCUCCACAAAACUGUGAGUUCCUUGAAUCAGGGAUGAAGUCGGAUCCUUCUCUUUGUCCUCAGGGCCCAGCACAGGUGGACACACCUCGCAUUGGCGAUCCCAUACAGGUCAUGUUAUCUUCGAUUCCAAGUAACACAGGUUAAAGGUGCAUUAGCCAAGUAGAGCCUUUUGAGAUGAGGGCAGCGGUGUGGAGUCUGGAAGCCAUGUUCUGUGAAGAACAGAAGAAGCAGGAAAGUUAAACUUGAAGAAGAGACCACUUCUGGGGUAGAAUUCCUCUGUGGACCCAACAGCCCACCUCUUCUGUGUGAGGCCCGGGCUGGCCCUGAGGAGGCCACAGAGGAUGCAGCUACAGUCCCUGCCUGGAGAGCUCACAGUCCAGAGAGGGUCGGACGUGGAACGAAGUAAUUAUAGCACCGUGUGACCACUGCCGUUAGUGGGGGAUGUAGGUAGACAUGGCCAGGAAGGGACUCUCAGAGGAGGCCUUGCAGGAGGGUCGAGUUAUGACAGUGUUGGAGGCGGUUUUCAGUUUACAAGCCCGAAUGACUGUCUAACAAUCAGAGUUCUGUAUGAAUGGAAGGCUGCCUGCGCACGGCCACAGCAAACACCUCACAGACUGGGUAUUGACGUCUGUCAACAAAAGAACCAAUAUGGAGGCGAUAGGGAAUUCUUCGUAACAGCAUAGAUAUGAAACUUGCUUCCUUUUACAUGCUCAGUACUAGGAUAUAAACACAAACAGUCUCUGGCCUAGAAAACCUCCCAAUGUAGGUAUUGCAAAAAUGUAACACUUUAGCCUUACACCGGUGUCUCUUGAAUUUGAAUAAUGUAUGGUUUCCUCAAAAAUUGUUGAGGUGCUCAGUGCUGGCAAUUUGGAUAUGUUCAAAUUUAAACUCAGUAUAAACUCUAACGCAACUAUAAAAGCAAAUCUUUUACAUAGGUAAUUUUUUAUUCAAUACAAACUUUUAUUGAAUAUGAACAAAACUAAAAAACAAAUAAAUGCCAAUAACACUAAUGCCACUGGUCUUGGGAAUCUAGGGAAUGGAUCUAGGGAAUAAUCAUCAUGAAAAAGAGAAGAAAAUGCAUGCCUUAAGAACACACCAGCACCUAUGAAGUUGACUUGCCAAAUCAUAUCAAGCAACAGGCUUUAUCUUUCAAGCUUCAGAAAACAUAGGAGAAAAAGAUUAAAAAAAAAAUUGUGGGAGGAAUCUAUAGGUGAAAAGAGACUAAGGAGACACUUAUGAGACGUGCUAUUUGAAUCCUGAUUUGAACAAACCAACUGUGAAAAAAAGGAACAAGCAAACGUGGGAGAAAUCUGAAUACUAACUGAAUAUUUGAUAUCGAAGUUUUUUUUUUAGUCCUUAUCUUUGGGGAAUACAUACUGAAAUAUUUAUGGAUGAAAUAAUAUGGUAUCUAUGAUUUGCUUCAUAAUAAUCCAGGGAGGAAGCCGGAAGUAGGUUAUCAGUUUAAACUAAGAUUGGCCAUGAGUUGAUGAUUAUUUUAGCUGCAUGGUGGGUACAUGAGGGUUCAUUGUUGUAUGUUAAAAAGAUUUAAUACUGGGGUGCCUGGGUGGCUCAGUCGGUUAAGCAUUUGCCUUCAGCUCAGGUCAUGAUCCCAGGGUCCUGGGAUCAAGUUCUGCAUCGGGCUCCUUAUUCAGCCUGCUU